CCAAUCACUGACUCCACUGGCCAGGAGGGCUCUGAGCUAGUGAAUAAAUACAGGCCCUUGUAGCUCCCAGCUCCACUCAGCUGCUUGCGGAGAAGACCCAACCCCGAGAGAAGAUGAGAGUCCAGAUGCUGGCUGUCCUGCUCCUGUUCGUGUCCCUCCUUUGUGCCGAGGGAAUCCGCGGAGCGUCCCUGGCUGGGAGCCGUGACUGCUGGUCAAACAAACACGGGCACAAGUGAGUCCCUGCUGUCCCACUCUGACAGGACUCGGAGUCCCAGCACUCGGAGGAAGGCCGAGGCGAGUCCAAGGUGAUGGUGAAGAGAGAAGCGAGUUUCGCUAGAUGUCGCUUCUGCUGUAACUGCUGUCCUAGGAUGAGCGGCUGUGGAAUCUGCUGCGACUUCUGACCCCCUUUCCCCGUCACCCAGUCGGUGCCUGGAGGCUCCCCAGCCCGUCCUGGGAGCAGAUCGAAGCCAGCCUGGGGCUGAAUUUGCCUGGGAUCAGGGGGACGCUAACCCUCCUGCUCAACCCCAAUAAAGUGUCUGCCUAGA